GACGAACGCUGACGGCGUGCUUAACACAUGCAAGUCGAAGGGAGUGGCGAACGGGUGAGUAACACGUGAGUAACCUGCCCUUUUCUGUGGGAUAAGCCUGGGAAACUGGGUCUAAUACUGGAUGGAUUGGGCUGGGCUCGCGGCUUAUCAGCUUGUUGGUGGGGUGAUGGCUUACCAAGGCUUUGACGGGUAGCCGGGCUGAGCGGGUGGUCGGUCACACUGGGACGGAGAAAACGCCCAGAGUACUCAGGGGGGGAGCAUGGGGGGAUAUUGGCGAAUGGACGAAAGGCCUAUGCCGCGGCGUCGUGGGGGGGAUGAAGGCCUUCGGGUUGUAAACUCCUUUCGCCCGCGGAAUGGUAGUGGGUAAAGAAGCGCCGGCUAACUACGUGCCAGCAGCCGCGGUAAUAC
rnacentral:rRNA from 1 species